rnacentral:rRNA from 1 species
UACGUAGGUGGCAAGCGUUGUCCGGAUUUAUUGGGCGUAAAGCGCGCGCAGGCGGCUUCGCGCGCCCGACGUGAAAGCCCCCGGCUUAACCGGGGAGAGUCGUUGGGGACGGCGGAGCUUGAGGGCGGGAGAGGUCGGUGGAAUUCCCGGUGUAGUGGUGAAAUGCGUAGAGAUCGGGAGGAACACCUGUGGCGAAGGCGGCCGACUGGGCCGACCCUGACGCUGAGGCUCGAAGGCGUGGGGAGCGAACGGG